UAUUAUUUAAAAUGUAAAUAUUAAUACUUAAGUAGUAGUAGUUAUGUUCUUGAAACUUAAAAAAUUUGGCGGUAUUUUAGUCUAUCCAGAGGAACCUGUUUUAUAAUCGAUAAUCCACGAUGGACCUUACUUAAGUUUGUAAUCAGUUUAUAUACCGUCGUUAUCAGAAUAUUUUAUAAGAAUAAUAAUAUUCAAUAAUUUUUAUUAAAAUUUAUAUCAGAUCAAGGUGUAGCUUAUACUUAUGUAAUAAUGGGUUACAAUAAAUUAAUUUAAACGGAUAAAAUUAUGAAAAAAUUUUUGAAGGUGGAUUUGGUUGUAAAAUUAUAAAGAUUAAUAAUUUGAUUUUAGCUCUAAAAUAUGUACACAUCGCCCGUCGCUCUUAUUAUUAAGGUAAGAUAAGUCGUACCAUAGUAGAUGUCCUGGAAAGUGUUUCUAGAAUGC
rnacentral:rRNA from 1 species